UAAGAGAGGAGGUGAUGACCAGAGCUCUACACUGGGGCCGCGUCCUGGCAAGCUGAGGAGAAUCGACAGGACAGGCAGCAUCCCUCUUCAGAGAGUCCAAUUCCCAUCUGAGAGGCCACACCUUCUUCCCGUUCCAGGGAGCAGUGACACGGGCCGGGCAGAUGCAGACGGAGAGCCUGCAAGACCUCUCACUGACCUCCAGGAACACUUUGUGAUGGAUGUAAAGACACGGAUUACUGUCCUGAGCUUGGAGACGAUGAGCAGGAGGCUGCAGAGGUUUUACUUGUCUCUGUGGACUCUGGACUUCAGGUGGGAAAAACACAGUUUCAUGUUGUGCUCGUUCAGACAUCCCACGAGCCGCCGUGGAUCAAACACAUCCUUGAAUGUGGGGGCUGCAAGGAACAUCAACUCCAUUUCAGCUCUGUUUCAGCUCUGCUUGCUGUGUGUAAUGGCCUUAGCAAGUUCCCCUACUGCUCCUGAUUCGCUGAAGAGACUGAUGGAGAUGGUGGAUGAACUUGGAUGUGGACUUCAAAUGAGUCCCGGCCCAGGGUGAUAACAGAGGGUGGAAAGCAUGAAGGAUGUGUUGGAUUGAAGUUAAAACUCUGCUGAAACGCCCGCUACCACUAGAUGGCACCAAAGCUCAACUGAGCUUUCACUCUGUUGUCCCCACCAGUCUUGCCUCCACUUUGACUCUCAUCAUUGGCACUGCAGCGGAAAUCCACUUGCCACCCAGGAAUCAUGUAUCCCAUGGAUGGACUGGUCAUGGAAUUCCUGAAAUAUCAUGGAAUUAUGCCAGACAGAGAAAGUCAGGGAAUCUUCUGUAGAAGUGAGUGAAUAUCAAAGUCACUGUACAACAAUAUAUGUAUAUUAUCUUCAGACUUGUUUCAUAUUAGAGAGGUUUGCACUUGGAUUGCUCACCAAAACCUUUUAGAGAAACAUUUUCAAACCAUGAACAAAAUCUCUGGUCAUAAAGCGACUUGAGCUUAUUCAUGGAAAGUCAUUAAAUAUCAUGGAAUUUCAUAUGAGAAGGCGGAGGUGGGAACGCUGGCCAGACUGCAUUAUUAGUGUUACCUUCAAAGUGAAGAACUUGUAGCAAGUCAAGGGCUGGGUUGUUCAUUUUGAUGACACCUCGAACCCUGCCACCUCCAUGCAGCACUGUAGAUUCCACAAUGAAGGAUUUGUGCAAAAUAAUGCAUUUGUUUUGCACAAUCUCUUUCCUGCAGAUCUCUCUCCUGCAUUACUUUAAGCCUUUAAGCCUCCUUCUUCUUCUUCUUCUUCAUUGUUUGUUUGUUGAAUGGAGCUGUAUGGGAAUGGAAUUAUGAAAUUCAGUAAACAUACAUAAUAUAUAAAAAUUUUAUGUUGAUAUGGAUUUUUACUUUUCUUAUAUGUAUUUCCAAUAAAGAAUCUAACACU